AGCGAACGCCGGCGGCAGGCUUAACACAUGCAAGUCGAGCGGGCGUAGCAAUACGUCAGCGGCAGACGGGUGAGUAACGCGUGGGAACGUACCUUUUGGUUCGGAACAACUGGGGGAAACUUCAGCUAAUACCGGAUAAGCCCUUACGGGGAAAGAUUUAUCGCCGAAAGAUCGGCCCGCGUCUGAUUAGCUAGUUGGUGAGGUAAUGGCUCACCAAGGCGACGAUCAGUAGCUGGUCUGAGAGGAUGAUCAGCCACAUUGGGACUGAGACACGGCCCAAACUCCUACGGGAGGCAGCAGUGGGGAAUAUUGGACAAUGGGGGCAACCCUGAUCCAGCCAUGCCGCGUGAGUGAUGAAGGCCCUAGGGUUGUAAAGCUCUUUUGUGCGGGAAGAUAAUGACGGUACCGCAAGAAUAAGCCCCGGCUAACUUCGUGCCAGCCGCCGCGGUAACAC
rnacentral:rRNA from 1 species